rnacentral:rRNA from 1 species
CCUACGGGGGGCUGCAGUGAGGAAUAUUGGUCAAUGGACGAGAGUCUGAACCAGCCAAGUAGCGUGAAGGAUGACUGCCCUAUGGGUUGUAAACUUCUUUUAUAAAGGAAUAAAACGAGGCACGUGUGCCUUUUUGCAUGUACUUUAUGAAUAAGGAUCGGCUAACUCCGUGCCAGCAGCCGCGGUAAUACGGAGGAUCCGAGCGUUAUCCGGAUUUAUUGGGUUUAAAGGGGGCGUAGAUGGGGUGUUAAGUCAGUUGUGAAAGUUUGGGGCUCAACCGGAAAAUUGCAAUUGAUACUGGAAGUCUUGAGUACAGGUGAGGUAGGCGGAAUGCGUGGUGUAGCGGUGAAAUGCAUAGAUAUCACGAAGAACCCCGAUUGCGAAGGCAGCUUACUAACCUGUGACUGACAUUGAUGCUCGAAAGUGUGGGUAUCAAACAGGAUUAGAUACCCGUGUAGUC